UGAGUCAGCCAGGUGGCCGCGAGUGUCGCAACCGACACUCGAGGAACGUCCGGACUCCGCAGGGCAGGGUGAUUGCUAACGGCAACCCGGGGCGACCCGCGGGAAAGUGCCACAGAAAACAGACCGCCCGCAAGGGUAAGGGUGAAACGGUGGUGUAAGAGACCACCAGCGCCCCCGGCGACGGGGACGGCUCGGUAAACCCCACCCGGAGCAAGGUCAAGAGGAGCCCUGACGGGCUCUGCGCGAACGUCCGAGGGCGGCCCGCCCGAGUUCGCGGGUAGACCGCUGGAGCACGUCGGCAACGGCGCGCCUAGAUGGAUGGCCACCGGCCGGGACAAUGCCGCAAGGCGUCCCGGUCACAGAAUCCGGCGUACCGGCUGACUCAUCCG
rnacentral:RNase_P_RNA from 2 species